UGAAAAGUCUUAUACCGAAAAGGUUUGGGAGAUAUGGUUCACUCUCAUACCGGACAGGGUAUGGAGGUGAUGGAAUGUUUGGCACCUAUUACUGUACAGGGUAUCGAGAUGACGGAAUAUUUGGCACCCAUUACCAGACUAGGUAUGGAGAUGGCCGAUUAAUUGUUAAAAUUAGAUAUUGGGUUCACGAGUAGGAGGACAUCCAUAU
rnacentral:lncRNA from 1 species